rnacentral:lncRNA from 1 species
GCGUUUUCUCUUCGGCACCUCCUAACCCCAACUCCAUCGCCGCCAUGUUGCCCAAAGGAAGGAGAGAGAGAGAGAGACAGAGACAGAGACAGAGGAGGGGAGAUAGGCAGAUCGAUUGAGAGAAAGAUUGAGAUAGCUAGCCUUGCCUCUUCGGAGGAGGAUUUGCUAUAAUGUGGGGGGAAGGGCCCGGCAUAAGCUACGACCACU